rnacentral:lncRNA from 1 species
UUUUUCAUCUUUUGAUCGUGAGCCUAGGCUUUAACAGGCGUCAUCUCUCCAGCUCUCAUACACAUUUCCAAAGUGACACAUGGCAACUGCAUGCCUUUGGAACUCAUUGGUAGAUUGAUGGCCCAUGUUACAGAGGGCUGCUCUGCUGCCAUCCCCUCUGCUGCAAGGCCUCACAGCCCUAGUACUAGCCACAUUCUCACAUGCUGUGCUGUUUACCAGUCUCUUAGAAACCCUUGCGUCUGUUUUCUUACAUCCCCUCUCUGCUGGUGACCAACAUGGAAUUAAGAGAACUGAAGCUUUCCUGCCCUACCAGCAAGAGCCCCAGAGUCAAGGAACACGGGCAGCUCAGAAGUAGCAACAGAAAGGGAGGAGGAGCAGAACUCACUGAGGCUCGGGCUUCAGGGCCUGCAGAGGCCUACACUUCCUUCCCUGAGUGUGGGAGUAGCUACAGGCUGUGGGGCUCAGAUAAGGAGGUCACCCCAGCAGUUGUCCUCUCCUGGGUAAUUUGAGACAGUGACUGACUCCAAAAGGGACUUUUCUCCAGACCCCAGAAGGCCUGGCUUAGACACUGUCUUGACAGUGAAACCAGGGACGCUCAGUGUGGCCACUGUAGGAGGGGGAGUGGUCGCUCUUUCACUCCUGUCCCUGAAGACAGGGGAGGCAGCAGCCUCAUUCCUUUGUGGUACCCUGGCUCCUCAGCUGUGUCACUGUGGAAGGAUCCUGGAAAGGAGGGCGGCUGGGCUUGCCCUCGUAGUUUGUGGAGCAGAACUGAAAGCAGGAACUCUAAGGGCAGAGUGAGCACAUUCUAUUUUCCUUCCUUAGGAGAUUACCUGGGCGGGGAGGCAUACUGGGCCGGGGGCCUGCACCUCUAUACCCCACUGCCUUUCCGGCCAGGCCAGGGUGGCUUCGGAGAGCUUUUCAGAACUCACUUUUUCCUCAAUGCUGGCAACCUGUGCAACCUCAACUACGGUGAGGGCCCCAGAGCCCACAUCCGGAAGCUGGCUGAAUGCAUCCGCUGGUCCUAUGGUGCAGGCAUCGUCCUCCGGCUUGGCAACAUUGCUCGGCUGGAGCUGAACUACUGCAUUCCUAUGGGUGUGCAGCGAGGCGACAGGAUUUGUGAUGGCGUCCAGUUUGGAGCUGGGAUUCGGUUCCUGUAACUUGAGUCCCAGGGGCAGCGUGGAUGAGCAACGGGACUCUCCCAGGCUACAUGCCUGUUUGGAGGUGACACAGCUGAGUGCUUCUGGGCCGUCAUCCUUAUGGGAAAUCACGUCAAUAAAUUUUAAACACUC